UCAACACCGAAGACUCCGCCGAACCCUAAUACUCCUAACCUCUCGAUAGUGAACCUCCGACUGUAACAGAUGACAGCCUCCCAUGGGAUCGCCGACGGACUCUGCGACUCCGGCACAUGAAUCUGACUUAAGCUUCUCCGGUGAGCAGACAUUGCUCUUUCGCUGUGAUUACGGCUUCAGAGUCUCCACCUGGAACUAGAGAGGUUGGUUCACCC